UACGUAGGGUGCGAGCGUUAAUCGGAAUUACUGGGCGUAAAGCGUGCGCAGGUGGCGAUGUAAGCUUGAUGUGAAAGCCCCGGGCUCAACCUGGGAACGGCAUUGAGGACUGCAUGGCUAGAGUGUGGCAGAGGGGGGUGGAAUUCCACGUGUAGCAGUGAAAUGCGUAGAGAUGUGGAGGAACACCAAUGGCGAAGGCAGCCCCCUGGGUUAACACUGACACUCAUGCACGAAAGCGUGGGGAGCAAACAGG
rnacentral:rRNA from 1 species